AUGCUAAGAGGAUACGAGCGGUCCACAUUACACAAUGCAGCUGCAGGUGUAAGAAUGGUAUGGCAAAGGUUGGAAGACUGCUAUGGAUCGCCAGAAGCAAUUGAAGAAGCUCGCCUAAAGAAACUGGAUGAUUUUCCAAGAAUCUCACAUCGAGAAAAUCAAAAGCUGAGAGAGCUGGGAGACAUUCUCUUGGAGCUUGAAGCCGCCAGAGCCGAUGGGUUCCUACCAGGCCUCAGUUACCUGGACACAUCUCGGGGCAUCACUCCAAUCGUCCAAAAGUUGCCAUACUCCCUGCAUGACAAGUGGGUCUCUCUAGCAUCUCGUUACAAAGAAAAUCAUCAAGCGUCUUACCCACCGUUCUCCUUCUUCGCAAAGUUUGUUUGUGAUCAAGCCAAAACACUCAAUGAUCCAAGUUUUGCCCCUCUUACAGGUGGUUGGAGGACAGGGAAGCCAGAACACUCCUUCAAAUCAAACAUGAAAAUACCCAUUUCUGUUAAAAAGACAGAAGUCUCCUCAAGCUCUAAAAGCAUGCAAGCCAGUCCCGCAGGGAAGAGGAGGGCUGAACCAGAUGAACAAUGCCCACUCCAUAACAAACCACACCCCCUCAGAAACUGUCGUGGGUUUAGGAGUAAAUCUUUAGAGGAAAGGAAAGCUUAUCUUAAAGAGAAUAAUAUUUGCUUUAAGUGCUGCGCUUCAUUCACUCAUCUAGCGAAAGACUGCCACAAAAACAUUCAGUGCAGAGAGUGCAGGAGUGAGAACCACCCUACUGCGCUACACCCAGGGCCGGCCCCCUGGAUAUCAGAGUCUUCUGUAACCGCAAGAGAGCAAGGCGGGGAGCAAGGAGAAGAAGCUUCUCAAGCUGUCACAGCAAAAUGCACAGACAUUUGUGGGACUUCCGUCAGAUCAAAGUCGUGCUCCAAAAUCUGUCUUGUCAGAGUUUAUCCAGCUGGCCAGAGGGAGAAAGCUGUUAAGGCGUACGUUGUUCUCGACGAGCAAAGCAACAAGUCUUUGGCAAGAACAGAGUUUUUUGAGCUCUUUGGAGUUACAGAGGGCACGGCAGCAUACACCUUGAAGACCUGCUCAGGAGUUAUGGAAACAACAGGGCGCCGAGCUAACAAUUUCAUCAUGGAGUCAUUAGAUGGUAAGACUCACAUUCCACUCCCCACCUUAAUCGAAUGUGACAUGCUUCCUGAUGAUAAGUCUGAAAUCCCCACACCUGAGAUUGCCAGACAUUAUCCACAUUUCAAGCGGGUUGUGGAUAAAAUCCCGGCUAUAGAUCCAUCAGCAAGCAUCCUGAUCUUGCUCGGUCGAGAUGUACCACAGGCACACAAGGUUCGAGAGCGAUGCAAUGGGCCCCACGAUGCCCCCUACGCCCAGCGUCUCGACUUGGGAUGGGUGAUUGUGGGAGAGGUUUGUCUCGGAAGAGCUCACAAACCGGAGUUUGUAAACGUCUAUCGGUGCAACGUGCUGAGUAACGGUCGUACAUCUCUGUUUGACCCUUGCACUAACAGUCUACACAUCAAAGAGAAGCUUGACACUCCAGAGCAGCAUCGUCAGUUUCUAGGCGCUAACGCAUCCGAAAUCCUGUUUGAUGGGAAAGAUGGCCUUGGGAAAGGGGUCUUCCAGCAAACGCCAUAUGAUAACAAGCCUGCCAUGUCUGUGGAAGACAAAGUCUUUCUGGAAAUAAUGGACAACGAGGUCUUCAUAGACGACUCGAAUAGUUGGGUGGCACCACUACCCUUCAGGCAACCAAGGCGCAAACUCCCUAACAACCGAGCCCAAGCAGUCAAGCGUCUUUUGACACUACGGCACAUGCUGGAGAAGAAGCUAGACAUGAAAGAACACAUGAUUGCCUUCAUGCAGAAGAUCUUUGAGGCAGGUCAUGCUGAACCAGUACCACCAACCACUGGUGAACAGGAGUGCUGGUAUUUACCAAUCUUUGGAGUGUAUCAUCCGCGAAAACCAGGUCAGGUACGGGCAGUGUUCGACUCCAGCGCUAAGCAUGAUGGUGUCUCACUGAAUGACAUCCUGCUGAGUGGCCCUGACUUGAAUAAUUCACUUUUAGGAGUCCUCAUCCGCUUCCGCAAGGAACCUGUAGCGGUGGCAGCAGACAUAGAACAGAUGUUCUAUUGCUUCAAAGUCCGCCAUGAUCACCGGGACUUCCUACGUUUCCUCUGGUUCGAGGACAAUGACCCCACCAAGCGCAUCACAGAGUAUAGGAUGACCGUGCACGUAUUCGGCAACCGCCCCUCUCCCGCUGUUGCCAUAUACGGCUUGAGAAGAGCAGCUCUGCAAGGACAGGAAGACCACAGUGCAGAGGCAAAACAGUUUGUUCUAAAGAACUUCUACGUGGACGAUGGUCUUGCUUCCUUCCCCACCGACGACAACGCCAUCCGAGUCCUGAAGGAAACCAAGGAGAUGUUGGCUGAUUCCAACAUACGGCUACAUAAGAUAGCCUCCAACCACGACGUAGUAGUGGAGGCGUUUCCACCUGAGGAACGGGCUAAAGAGCUGAAAGACCUAGAGCUUGGUGUGGAUCCGUUGCCUAUGCAGAGAAGCUUAGGUCUCAACUGGCACCUUCAAACCGACAGCUUUACCUUUCUUGUCUCCCAGGAGGAGAAGCCCUUUACCCGUAGAGGUAUUCUCUCCACAGUUAACAGCAUAUUCGACCCGUUGGGGUUUGCAGCUCCUAUUGUAGUCCAGGGCAAGGCGAUAGUCAGAGAGCUAUGCGCUGAGCAUUUCGAUUGGGACACCCCAAUACCUGCUGAAAAAGUGGCGCAGUGGAAGUCUUGGAGAGAUUCACUGAAGGCACUCGAGCAACUUCACAUACCAAGGCCAUACCUACCUGUUUCCCUGCUUUCCACACAGCACAGGGAGUUAUGUGUCUUUUGCGACGCGUCCACCAUGGCCAUCUCUGCAGUUGCCUACCUCAGGGCAGUGGAUGAUGAAGGACACUGUCUUGUAGGAUUCUGCAUGGGAAUAUCUAAAUUAGCACCCCGGCAUUCCCAUACUGUGCCCCGUCUAGAGCUUUGUGCGGCCGUACUAGCAGUUGAGCUGGCUGAUACCUUGAGGGAUGAGCUAGAUGUCGGAAUCCACACAGUGAAGUUUUACACCGACUCCAGAGUUGUGCUGGGCUACAUCUACAACGCCAACCGGAGGUUUUAUGUGUAUGUUGCUAACAGAGUAGCACGCAUCCGGAAGUCUUCGCAGCCUGAACAGUGGCACUUUGUCAGUUCGGAACACAAUCCUGCCGACCAUGGUACCAGACCAGUUCCAGCUGCACUGUUGAGAGAUACAAACUGGUUUUCUGGACCGUCGUUUCUUGAGAACGAUGAGAGAGUUGCACUUACCCCACCAGAGUUCUUUGAGCUUGUUGAACCAGACGGGGAUGCAGAUGUGCGUCCACUGAUUGCAACCUUUGCUACAGGAGCUUCUGAAAGACAGCUUGGUUCACACAGGUUUGAGCGCUUUUCCAGCUGGAAGACACUUGUAUGUGGCAUCGCCAAGCUCGUCCAGAAAGUCAGAUCCUGUGCUAAGACUCUGGAGGGAGAUUUGACAAAGGUAGAUGAGCGUACACAGGCAAGAACAGUAAUCGUACAGACUGUACAGCACGAGGCCUUCAAAGAAGAACUCAAGAGCCUGUCCAAAGGAGAGCUUGUCUCAAAACACAGUCCUCUCAGGAAACUUGACCCUUUCUUGGAUUCAGAUGGUGUACUGAGAGUUGGUGGCCGCACGUCAUUAUCCGCAAUCUCAUGGGAAGAGAAACAUCCCAUAAUCAUUCCCAAAAGCAACCACAUUGCUACCUUGUUGGUGCGGUAUUAUCAUGAGCAAGUAGUACACCAAGGUAGGCACUUCACGGAAGGGGCCAUCAGAUCCGCAGGACUGUGGAUUCUGGGAGGAAAAAGACUUGUAUCAAGUAUCAUACACAAGUGUGUCACCUGUAGGCGGUUGAGAGGAAGUCUGGAAAAACAAAAAAUGUCCAACUUACCUGCUGAUCGGUUGACCCAAUCUCCUCCUUUCACCCAAGUUGGAUUAGAUGUUUUUGGACCAUGGACGGUUUGCGCCCAUCGCACGAGGGGAGGCCUUGCAGAGAGUAAGCGCUGGGCUGUUAUGUUUACCUGUUUAGUAACCAGGGCAGUUCACCUGGAGGUGAUAGAAUCUCUGUCUACGUCGAGCUUCAUAAAUGCGCUUAGGCGAUUCACUGCCAUCAGAGGUCCAGCAAAGCCCUUUCGUUCAGACCGAGGCACGAACUUUGUCGGUGCAUGUAAAGAACUUGGUAUAACCCCACAAGAUGCAACACUUCAGUCUUACCUGAAAGACCAAGGCUGCACAUGGGACUUCAAUCUUCCACACUCCAGCCACAUGGGGGGAGCAUGGGAAAGAAUGAUAGGGAUGGCUCGACGCAUUUUGGAUAGCAUGUUGCUCAAGAUGCAUUCCCCUAGUCUUUCACACGAAGUGCUCACCACGCUUAUGGCAGAGGGCGCAGCCAUCAUGAAUGCCCGGCCAAUAGUCCCUGUGUCUUCAGAUCCAGACAUGCCGACCAUACUCACCCCUGCUAUGCUUUUAACGCAAAAGGUGGACUCCGUGUCUGCUCCCUUGGAAGACAUCAACCCCAAGGAUCUCUACCGAAGUCAGUGGAAGCAAGUUCAAAGCCUUGCGGAUUCAUUCUGGAAAAGAUGGCGUCAAGAGUACCUGACGACACUCCAGCCAAGAAGGAAAUGGCAAGCAGAACAAGCCAACCUGCAAGUUGGAGGUGUUGUGCUCCUAAAGGACAAGGAGUCUAAACGAAAUCAAUGGCCCACAGGACUUGUGGUAAAUACCUUUCCGGGUCAAGACAGCAGGGUCCGGAAAGUGGAGGUGAGAGUUGUUCAAGGAGGCACCCCCAGGGUGUAUUCGAGACCCGCCACUGAAGUUGUUGUUACUCAGAGGGACAUAGCGGUAUAG
rnacentral:lncRNA from 1 species